UGCAGUCGAACGCGACACUUUCGGGUGUCGAGUGGCGGACGGGUGAGUAACACGUGGGUGACCUGCCCAUCAGCCUGGGAUAACCACCGGAAACGGUGGCUAAUACCGGAUAUGUCUACGGAUGAAAGUCGGAUUUUCUGACACUGAUGGAUGGACCUGCGGCGCAUUAGCUAGUUGGUGAGGUAGUGGCUCACCAAGGCGACGAUGCGUAGCCGACCUGAGAGGGUGAUCGGCCACACUGGGACUGAGACACGGCCCAGACUCCUACGGGAGGCAGCAGUAGGGAAUCUUCCGCAAUGGACGCAAGUCUGACGGAGCAACGCCGCGUGAGUGAAGAAGGUUUUCGGAUCGUAAAGCUCUGUUGUUAAGGAAGAANGUUCAUGGUAGUAACUGGCCAUGAAGUGACGGUACUUAACCAGAAAGCCACGGCUAACUACGUGCCAGCAGCCGCGGUAAUACGUAGGUGGCAAGCGUUAUCCGGAAUUAUUGGGCGUAAAGCGCGCGUAGGCGGCAAGNAAAAGUCUGAUGUGAAAGCCCCCGGCUCAACCGGGGAGGGUCAUUGGAAACUGUUUUGCUUGAGUACAGAAGAGGAGAGUGGAAUUCCAUGUGUAGCGGUGAAAUGCGCAGAGAUAUGGAGGAACACCAGUGGCGAAGGCGGCUCUCUGGUCUGUAACUGACGCUGAUGUGCGAAAGCGUGGGGAUCAAACAGGAUUAGAUACCCUGGUAGUCCACGCCGUAAACGAUGAGUGCUAAGUGUUAGGGGGUUUCCGCCCCUUAGUGCUGCAGCAAACGCAUUAAGCACUCCGCCUGGGGAGUACGACCGCAAGGUUGAAACUCAAAUGAAUUGACGGGGACCCGCACAAGCGGUGGAGCAUGUGGUUUAAUUGGAAGCAACGCGAAGAACCUUACCAAAUCUUGACAUCCUUUGACCGCUCUAGAGAUAGAGUUUCCCUUAUGGGCAAAGUGACAGGUGGUGCAUGGUUGUCGUCAGCUCGUGUCGUGAGAUGUUGGGUUAAGUCCCGCAACGAGCGCAACCCUUAAUAUUAGUUGCCAUCAUUGAGUUGGGCACUUUAAUGUGACUGCCGGUGACAAACCGGAGGAAGGUGGGGACGACGUCAAAUCAUCAUGCCCCUUAUGAUUUGGGCUACACACGUGCUACAAUGGGCAGGAACAAAGGGCAGUUAAACCGCGAGGUCAUGCGAAUCCCAUAAAACUGUUCUCAGUUCGGAUUGGAGUCUGCAACUCGACUCCAUGAAGCUGGAAUCGUUAGUAAUCGUAGGUCAGCAUAUUACGGUGAAUACGUUCCCGGGUCUUGUACACACCGCCCGUCACACCACGAAAGUCAGUAACACCUGAAGCCGGUGGACU
rnacentral:rRNA from 1 species